UGGGGAAUCUUGCGCAAUGGGCGAAAGCCUGACGCAGCGACGCCGCGUGGGGGAAGAAGGCCUUCGGGUUGUAAACCUCUUUCAGGAGGGACGAAGCCACUCGGGUUAAUAGCCCAGAGGGUGGCGGUACCUCCAGAAGAAGCCCCGGCUAACUACGUGCCAGCAGCCGCGGUAAUACGUAGGGGGCAAGCGUUGUCCGGAUUUAUUGGGCGUAAAGAGCGUGUAGGCGGCCAGGUAGGUCUGCUGUGAAAACUCGAGGCUUAACCUCGAGAUGUCGGCGGAAACCAUCUGGCUAGAGUCCGGAAGAGGAGAAUGGAAUUCCCGGUGUAGCGGUGAAAUGCGCAGAUAUCGGGAAGAACACCCGUGGCGAAGGCGGUUCUCUGGGACGGUACUGACGCUGAGACGCGAAAGCGUGGGGAGCGAACAGGAUUAGAUACCCUGGUAGUCCACGCCGUAAACGAUGAGUGCUAGGUGUGGGGGGUGUCGACUCCCUCCGUGCCGCAGCUAACGCAUUAAGCACUCCGCCUGGGGAGUACGGCCGCAAGGCUAC
rnacentral:rRNA from 1 species